AAUCUUAAAAAACAGCUCGCUCAUAAAGAACUUAGAAUUUAGCCCCCUACCACUCGCGCUAACUCACAGUUACAGGGAGGGAAGAAGAAGAUUAGAAGAACCACAAUGUCAAGCUUACUACCAGAGGAAAUCAUACAGAACAUAUUCAAAAGGUUACCUGUCAAAUACACUUCAAGAUUCAGGUGUGUUUCCAAAUAUUGGUAUCAUUUAUUUCGAAACCUAAUUUUAUUAAAAAUCAUCUCAACCAUGCUAAUCUCAUGAAUAAGUUCAAUCACUUGGUUCACAACUUCGGGGACAUGGAUAAUAUCCCUGCUGGUGAUAUAGCUGCAGAACCUUUUCUCUAUUCUGUAGAUAAUAGUGUCUUAACAUCAACAUCAUCACCAUUUUUAGGUCAUGCUCUUAAGAUUGAUUAUCCACUUAUGUCCUCAGAAUGUGUGCCUCAACUUCUAGGUUCUUCUAAUGGAUUGGUUUGCAUUAGACCAAUUUCUGAAGACAUUUGCAUUUGGAACCCGGCUACCCGAGAAUAUAAACAUAUACCAGACCCUUCACCCCACUCAAAUCCUUUUCUUAUUGCCCAUGGGUUUGGUUUUGAUUGAAAAAAUGAUGAUUAUAAGGUAUUAAGAAUUGCAUGAUUUGAUUUUGAUUAUAAAAUUUCUGAAGCUAGAGUAUACUCAUUAGCUUCAAAUUCAUGGAAGAAUCUUGGUUUUAUUCCUUAUGAUUUCUCUUAUGGUAUAAAUAAGGGUUUGCUUCUUAAUGGUGUUCUUCACUGGAUUGCUAUUGCUCAUCGUAAUGGACUCAAAUCUAACGUUGUUGUUUCUUAUGAUAUUUCUGACGAGACAUUCCAUCAUGUGCCAUUACCUAACAAAAUUUCAAAGGAGGAUGGAUACCGUAGCAUAUCCGAUCUGGGCGUCUUGGAAGGGAAACUUUGCCUACUUCGUAUGAACGAUCAGAUUGAUGUGUGGAUCAUGAUCGAUAACAAGUGGAGUAAACAUUUGAAGAUUACUGCACAGAUGUACUUUGGACAUCCAAUUCAAACUUUACAGAAUGGUAAGAUCCUAUUUGACGGUGGAGGAAAUGGUUUACGGUCAUAUGACCCUAAUCUUGAAAGAGCUAGAGACCUGAAGAUACACGACUUCCCGGACGAUGCUCUUGUAGAGGCUUAUAUUGAGACCUUGGUAGCACUUAACUCUGGUGCUUAUGUUGGGCAAUAACAAAAAAAGGUACAACGAAGUAAAACAAGAAGAGACAGAUAAUAAUGUCUGAUGUGGAUCUGGAAUUGAUUACGCAAGAAAGUAAGGGAGAGGUAUGGUAGAAAGGGAUGGUGUCAAUCUCUUUUAUGUUUUUGGCUAAAAAAGGGAAGCAGAAAUCAUUGCGGGAGAUGAUUUGUUAUAUGUAGCAGUGGAUUAUCCAAGAACACCGAGUUUAGGUGCAUGGUGGUGAUACGACGACAUUUCGGGGUAACAAUCCUACCUCUACCUGCCUCCAUUACGCGGCUGCAAUAAGGCAGGCAGGCAGGACUCCGAAGAAGCAGACGGCGGGUAAAAUUAAAACGAAACGGUGGAUAAUCAGACAUGUAGGAUCAUUUCCAGCUUUUCUUUUCCUUUUUCUUUUCGCUUUCUCUUUUUGUAUUUUUUGGCUAGUUACCGUGGAUCGGUAAUCUCUUUCGUUUGUGCAGCCUAAUUUUUAAGGCAAAAGAUCUCUUCAUUUAAUAUAGAUCAUCAUCAUCAAGCUUAAAUUGAUAAACAAUG